rnacentral:ncRNA from 2 species
UUCUUAUCAAGAAGGCGGAGGGACUGGCCCAAUGAAACCUGACAACCGGCAAAUGUACGGUGUUAAUUCCUGCAAAACUUAUUUAGUUUUGAAAGAUAAGAA